GAUGAAGAACGCAGUGAAAUGCGAUACGUAAUGUGAAUUGCAGAAUUCAGUGAAUCAUCGAGUCUUUGAACGCACAUUGCGCCCCUUGGUAUCCCGAGGGGCAUGCCUGUUCGAGCGUCAUUUCACCACUCAAGCCUGGCUUGGUGUUGGGCGACGUCCCCUUUGGGGACGCGCCUCGAAACGCUCGGCGGCGUGGCACCGGCUUUAAGCGUAGCAGAAUCUUUCGCUUUGGAAGUCGGGGCCCCGUCUGCCGGAAGACCUACUCGCAAGGUUGACCUCGGAUCAGGUAGGGAUACCCGCUGAACUUAAGCAUAUCAUAAGCGGAGGA
rnacentral:misc_RNA from 1 species